rnacentral:rRNA from 1 species
UUACCUACGGGGGGCAGCAGUGGGGAAUAUUGCACAAUGGGGGAAACCCUGAUGCAGCGACGCCGCGUGAGUGAAGAAGUAUUUCGGUAUGUAAAGCUCUAUCAGCAGGGAAGAAGAUGACGGUACCUGACUAAGAAGCCCCGGCUAACUACGUGCCAGCAGCCGCGGUAAUACGUAUGGGGCAAGCGUUAUCCGGAUUUACUGGGUGUAAAGGGAGCGUAGACGGCGCCGCAAGUCUGGUGUGAAAUCCCGGGGCUCAACCCCGGGACUGCAUUGGAAACUG